rnacentral:tRNA from 1 species
GCCUGGGUGGCUCAGUGGUUGAGCAUCUGCCUUUGGCUCAGGUUGUGCUUCUGGGGUCCUGGGAUCGAAUCCCACAUUGGGCU